AACGUCGCCCCGGUUUGACGCACACGGCACCAAACUGUCUGAUUCCCUGGCCUUUGGGUCCCUGGGAGCUUAAUCUCUGCCAGAGGAAAGCAGUUCUGAAAGCUGGAAGUCUGAAACCGGUAUCACUGGGCAGAAAUGAAGGUGUCAGCAGUGAUGUUCUCUCUCCAGAGGCUCUAAGAGGAAAAUGUUCGUUGCCUCGUCCCAGUUCUGGUAGCUGCUGGCAUUCCUGGCUGUGGCUACAGUCUUCAAGGUUUGAUUUAAUUUCGAAUGAGAUUAUUCUUGCAGCGAGAUGUUAAUAAGACAAAAUCUAG
rnacentral:lncRNA from 1 species